UUUUACAAUGGAGAGUUUGAUCCUGGCUCAGGAUGAACGCUAGCUACAGGCUUAACACAUGCAAGUCGAGGGGAAACGACAUCGAAAGCUUGCUUUUGAUGGGCGUCGACCGGCGCACGGGUGAGUAA
rnacentral:rRNA from 1 species